GUUUCAGCCGCCGCGGUAAGACGAACCGUGCGAACGUUAUUCGGAAUCACUGGGCUUAAAGGGUGCGUAGGCGGGCUGUCAAGUCUGGGGUGAAAUCCCGCGGCUCAACCGUGGAACUGCCUUAGAUACUGAUGGCCUCGAGGAAGGUAGGGGCAUGCGGAACUGUAGGUGGAGCGGUGAAAUGCGUUGAUAUCUACAGGAACUCCGGUGGCGAAAGCGGCGUGCUGGACCUUUUCUGACGCUGAGGCACGAAAGCUAGGGGAGCAAACGGGAUUAGAUACCCGCGUAGUCC
rnacentral:rRNA from 1 species